AGCUCUCAAUGGAUGAGCGGUAGCAGGUCAGCAGCCGUUUGGGGUCCAGAUUGUGCUUUCCAAGCACUCUCAGGAAGUGUGAUCGCUGCUUAGCCUUUUUGG